AGUUUGAUCCUGGCUCAGAUUAACGCUGGCGGCAUGCCUUACACAUGCAAGUCGAACGGCAGCGCGGACUUCGGUCUGGCGGCGAKUGGCGAACGGGUGAGUAAUACAUCGGAACGUACCCUGUUGUGGGGGAUAACUAGUCGAAAGAUUAGCUAAUACCGCAUACGACCUGAGGGUGAAAGUGGGGGACCGCAAGGCCUCACGCAGCAGGAGCGGCCGAUGUCUGAUUAGCUAGUUGGUGGGGUAAAGGCCCACCAAGGCGACGAUCAGUAGCUGGUCUGAGAGGGCGAUCAGCCACACUGGGACUGAGACACGGCCCAGACUCCUACGGGAGGCAGCAGUGGGGAAUUUUGGACAAUGGGGGCAACCCUGAUCCAGCAAUGCCGCGUGUGUGAAGAAGGCCUUCGGGUUGUAAAGCACUUU
rnacentral:rRNA from 1 species